rnacentral:rRNA from 1 species
ACUGCUCAGUAACACGUAGUUAAUCUACCAUAUGGCGGAGGAUAACCUCGGAAACCUGAGGGUAAUACUCCAUAGGGAAUCAUUUCUGGAAAGGAUGAUUCUUAAAACGUAAGGCCUUAUGAUGAGACUGCGGUGGAUUAGGUUGUUGGUAGGGUAACGGCCUACCAAGCCUUAGAUCCAUACGGGCCUUGGAAGAGGGAACCCGGAGAGGGACACUGAGAUACUGGUCCCAGCCCUACGGGGUGCAGCAGGCGCGAAAACUUUGCAAUGCACGAAAGUGUGACAGGGGGACUCAAAGUGCUCAUACAAAGUAUGGGCUUUUGCCAACUCAAAAUUUGUUGGCGAAUAAGUGGUGGGAAAGACUGGUGCCAGCCGCCGCGGUAACACCAGCGCCACAAGUGGGAAUCGAUAUUAUUGGGCCUAAAGCGUCCGUAGCAGGUCUGAGAAAUUGCUUGUGAAAUCGCAUAAGUCAACUAUGCGGAAUGCUUGCAAGACUGCCAGACUAGAGACCGGGAGAUGUUGGAGGUAUUCAAAGGGGAGCGGUAAAAUGCGAGAAUCCUUUGAGGACCACCUGUUGCGAAGGCGUCCAACAAUAACGGGUCUGACUGUGAGGGUCGAAAGCUAGGGGAGCGAACCGGAUUAGAUACCCGAGUAGUCCUAGCCCUAAACGCUGCGAGCUAGGUGUUGUAUAAUCUUUGGGAUUAUACAGUAUCGUAGAGAAGUCGUUAAGCUCGCCGCCUGGGAAGUACGGCCGCAAGACUGAAACUUAAAGGAAUUGGCGGGGGAGCAC